rnacentral:sRNA from 1 species
UAUGUAUGCACGUAUAAUGUUUAGAUACAUGCAAAUUAAAUGGAUGUUGCGAAUGUGUCUGACUUUGGUUUGAGCAAAUUUAGUUAGUCUAAAGUAAGCAAUUCUUAAGCACUUUUAUGCGGAUUAAGAAAAUAGAAAUACCAUCAUAAUGGCUUAUUCAUGGGAUAACCGUGUAGAUUUUGUUGUGCGGUACAUGUAUG